rnacentral:rRNA from 1 species
UACGGAGGGUGCGAGCGUUGUCCGGAAUCAUUGGGCGUAAAGGGCGCGUAGGUGGCCUGUGGAAGUCUGCGGUGAAAGCCCGGCGCUCAACGCCGGGUCGGCCGUGGAUACUCUCGGGCUCGAGCUUACUAGAGGCAGAUGGAAUUCCGGGUGUAGCGGUGGAAUGCGUAGAGAUCCGGAAGAACACCGGUGGCGAAGGCGGUCUGCUGGGGUAAUGCUGACACUGAUGCGCGACAGCGUGGGGAGCAAACAGG